GGGGGAGAAUGGGCAUCCCACCCCAGCACUUUCUAGGAAGAAGGGCAACAUUUUGAAGGGCUGGAAGUAGAGAAAGAAGGUUGCGGGUAGAAGACUCCAUACUUUCUGUGACGCCUAUUCCUUAGCUUGUGAUGAAUGUUUUCUCAGUAUCCUAUGCUGAAAACAGGUAGAUACUAAUCCCUCCUUCAAGGGAGGGCUGUUGAGUAUUGAAUAAGAUAAAAACAUGGAAGCAAUCAGCACAAUGCUGGAGAGCUUUUAUAUAACCAAAGAUAUUUUUGGACCAUGAAUUCGGAAAUUCUCGGAGCCACCCAUCAAUGCCUGAGCUUCAGUGAGUCCAUAUCCCAUGUCACCUACGGCAAAGGAGAAUCUGAGACUUCUGAAGAGUUUCUUGCUUCUUUCCUGUGGGGCAGUGACUCCACUUCCCAGCAGUAAUGGAAUAUCCUGAAUUAGCUACAUUAAUGUUAGAACCAUUUGGACCUCACCCAGGACUUCAACUACAUUGUGCUAAAGUUACAGAAUCCAAAUUUGGCAACUGCCUGCAUCUGAACAACAGAAGUUUCAACAUUCUGCCAACAGAGUAACUCCUGGACGACUGGCACAGAAGAAGGCACAAGGUUCUAGUAUGUUAGGUUUAUGUUCCCCUGCUUUCUACAAUCCUGUUCAAAGAGUUGCUGACUUAACCACAGAGAGAAUUCCAGAACAUGAGACACAGAAUAAACUUGAACAAUCAUAGUCCAUCCACUUCAUUUUCUCAUCGAAAACCAAAGGUCCAGUGAGGCUCUGGAACUCGACGCUGUAAAGGAGCGAAGGAGCAUCUAUACAGAACCUGGAUGCCUGUCUCCUUAUCCUA
rnacentral:antisense_RNA from 1 species